rnacentral:lncRNA from 1 species
AACAAGAAGGUGGUAUCUAGUUUUACUAACGAGAGUAAGACUAGUUUAUUAAGCUAUUAUGCCAGCCUAUUUUAUUUAAGUUUGAAUUCCUCUCUCUACAAAUAUCGUCUUGUUAAAUAAAUAAAAUAACAUCUAGUUCUGUAGAUGUGAGUUAACCUAAUUUACCAAAACAAUACGUCGACCUCUUUACAUUCAAGUUUAAAUAUUUUUCUCAUGUAAAUUAGAAUACUGUCUUGUCAAAUCAAAAGGGUGUAGCAUCCCGUUCCCUUGUCUAUAUCAAACUGUUGAUUCAAGCAUACGAAUCUAACAUAGCUGGAAAAAGGAGGUGAGCCAGAAAUAAGCCUCAUUUGGAGAAAUUUUUAGUUGUGACAGAAACACAAGUAAUACAUCAUGUGUUUUUAUAUAAGUGAUGAAAUUUUUUAUUUUUUAAGCUAUUAACUUUUUAACACACAUAUUCCACAAUUUAUAUAACAACAUGUGAUAUACCAUCUCGUAUGAUAGUCAUAUUGAAAAAUCCUUCCUUCAUUUGCAAGGUUUCAUAUCUCAAAAGGCAUAAUGUCAGUUUCCAUCCUGAUAUUAAAUUAUUCUCACACUUUUCCAGAAGCUCCUGUUCCUAUAUCAUCCAACAACUUGCUACUCACUCUAAAGAAAAGGAUGAAAUAUCCACAAAUACCUUUUUAAUUUUCGACCGUCGGAUUGAAUAAAUUGAAAAAGAUCAACGGAUAUAAAUUAUCAAAGAAUGUGUGAGAAGUAAAAUAAGAUGUGUGGAUAGCAUACCCUUAAAGAAAACUAGCCUUCAUGCACGCGUUUACGUGCGUACAUAAUUUAAUUUUUGGAAUUACAAUGUGCUAUAUGCGAAUUUUUGUUGAACGUGUUGUCUAUAUUUAAUCUAAGAACGUAACAUGCAAAUAGCUCGAAGACAAGGAAGUGUUUACAUAAAAGAAAUUGAGACAUUAAAAAAACACCCCAAUAUUGAACAAAAUGGCAUUAACAACCUUUACUAUCUCUCCCGCCAAACCCAGCACUGUAGUAACUAUCACGUAUGCGAUCCAAUAUUUUAGUAGAUAAGAUGUUGAAUUUCGCUGUAAUAGUUUCAAUCAUAUAAUGUUUAUAAAAUCUAUUUUCGUGACAUUUUCGCUUCAUCCUAAGCUUCGUAGUGUUAAUGCAAAAAGAUUUUAGAGAUGUUCUGGCCGACAAAAAUCCAUUCUUCCUAGUUUUAAUUGAUUUUCUGUAUUUCAGCUCAAAAGUUCAACCAAAAUUACUUAUGUGACAAAAUAAAUGGUCAAACCGCUUCCAAAUCACUAUGUGCACGCAGAAGAAUCUACGAAAAAUUAACAGUUACACGUAUACAGUCAGCAUUAAUGCAAGGUUUGUCAUCGUUUUUGUGAAGUUACAGCUUCGAAUUUCCGAGCAAAUGGAAGCUGCUUUCGAUGAAGAAUUAAAGUUCGAUUUCCUUUCCAGCAAGCAUCACAAGGAAACCGUACUCGGAAAGUAUUAGCUACCAGACGUUGAAGAAUAUCAAAUCGGGGUUAAGAUCCUACACAUCGACAAGAUCCAGCGGAACAUUGGAUAGAUACAAAGUGGUGUAUUCGACAAUUGAACUUGAUGAAAUUCGACACUGAUCAGCUUAAACAUUUACCAUGUUAACAAAAUGUACUUAAUCGGACUAGUUUCUAGUGUUUACGAUCUUACCUCCGAACGUUAUUGACCCGAAAGACGGAGGUUGUGGAUCUUCUCUUCAGCUACUCAAUAACACUGGUUAAAGCAGAAGAAAAAACCUUUUGGCUUGUCUUCCAUAUCUCCUAAUUUGGGCGUCUCCCCUGAGCCUUCGCGUGCUGCCAUCAAGGCGCUUGUACCAGGAGACUCUGGUGGCAAGACGGUGUUCUCAGUGAACAUCCGUGAUGGAAUGGCAGGUUCGGGAGGAGAUAUGGUGUAAAGAAAAUCGAGUAGCAUUUGAAUUAUUUGGCUGAAAUUAGGCCGAGCAUUCGGGUCCUCCUGCCAGCAUGAAGUUAGGAUGAUGUUCAACUCCUCAGGGAUGUUCUCAGAACUAGGCCUCACAUUCUGAAAUGUUAAGUAUCCAUUAAAUCAUCAGUAAAACUUAGCAGCACCAUAAGCCAUUUGCAGAAUUAAUGGUUGGGAUCGGAAAUAAUGUAUCGAUGAGGAAGAUAUGUUUACUUUAAAUGCAGCUGCAUAUGCUGCCUGGAGAUUUGACAUGCCUUCGAAAGGCAAUUUGUUGUGUAAGAGUUCCCACAAAACAAUUGCGAAGCUAUAUGCGUCCACUUUGUGGUUGUAAUGCUUUCCCUCUCCUUGCCUUAAUGUAACAGUACUGUACAACUGCCAAAAAAUAGGAAAUAUCAACUCAAUAAAGAGGUAUUUUUAAGCGUCAACGGUUCAUAAGAGUGUGGGGGAAGAAGGGUAGUACCUCCGGAGCCAUCCAACGGUAUGUCCCCGUUUCUGCAGUCAUCAUCUCUGUUAAUGACUCUUCUCUUGCCAACCCAAAAUCCGCUAAUUUAACUGUUUUGUGGUCUGCAGUCAAGAGCAAGUUCUCUGCACCCAAAAGUUAAAAAAAAGAUCAAAUAAGUAAGAAUAUGAGCUAAAAGACAAGUAAUUUUUCAAAACCCAACAAAUAAUUCACCCAUCCACAUCAAUGUAUUGAAUCAUACAAUGCAGAUCCGUUGUUAGAUACGUAAAAACAAGGGAAAUCCACGAGUAGAAGUUUUUAUUAAAAAAUGGAACUGGAGAGGACUAAACCGACUAUAAGCGGUGUAUAACCCUCAGUUUGGAGCCCCUCGGGUUCUGUUUUUGAAUAAAAUCUUCUACUCCUUCUUGAAGCGCCAUCUUACUAAAAUUAGUCUGAAGUCGAAUUUGGGAACUUAAACGUAUGACUAUCUACUCUUUUUAAUAUAACAGUACAGUUCAGAAUAAUAAUUCCAGCCUGACGGUAUGGCAGUGAUGAAAUCUAUCAUCGUAAUGCAAACACGGAAAAUAUUUAUUAAAAAUUUAAUACCAAAAGAAAGUUGUGUGAAUGAGAGUUAUUGCAGCCAAAAAAGUCAGAAAAUAUUGACUACAGAAAAAAAUACGACAAUCCAGUUCUGAAACAGUCUAUGAAUUUAAACCGUCUUAAACUUAAACUUAUAGAAUUCAAAGCAGUUGAAAUGGGAUAGGAAAAGUUACCAGGCUUCAAAUCACGGUGUAUGAUCCCAUGAGAGUGCAAGCACUCCAUCGCACGAGCAAUAUCCAAUGCGAAACCAACAGCAACGCGUAUGUCCAAGCACCUCGGCCGCAUGUUUAGACAAUAUUUGCGCAAUGUACCUCCCAACAAAAGCUCAGUAACUAUCACCAUCACUGGCUCCUUGCAGGCACCAAUAAACUGUUGAGAGGCAGGGUACCUUCAUUAAUUAUCAGAUGUCGACACAUAACAAUUUGAUGUUCAUGACUACACAAUGUAACUAUCGUCACCCGUUACCACAAUGACUUAUCACCGAAAUGGCGGCAAUUAAAUCGAACCUUCACUAAAUUUUUAUGUUGAACUCUCGACAACAUGGCAACCUCUCUGGCAAACCGUCCUUCUUUCUUGAUAAUCUCCUCUGGAGUUUCUCCUCUAUGAACAACUUUGAUUGCAACAGUCUGGUUUUUGUAUCUGAUUGGAAUCCAAAAGGCCGAAAUCAAAAGGAGUGAGAUAACUGCAGCAUAACAGAACUCAAAAUUGAACCAUAAUUACUUGCAAGCUGCCAAUCUAAUCGCUUAAGAAACUCAUUUUUCGCCCUCAAACCAAAUUCAUCAGUUAUCUUCUACCGAACUACAAUUCACCGAAAACCUAACCAUUUUCGGGAUCCUACCAAAAUUUGAAUCUAACCACUAAACCAGAUUAAAUUUUCAGCAAAACCCAAAAUGCAGUUCAGAAUGCAAAGCAACAACAACAACAACAAAGCCUUUUCCCACUAAGUGGGGUCGGCUAUAUGAAUCCUAGAACGCCAUUGCGCUCGGUUUUGUGUCAUGUCCUCCGUUAGAUCCAAGUACUCUAAGCCUUUUCUUAGAGUCUCUUCCAAAGUUUUCCUAGGACUUCCUCUACCCCUUCGGCCCUGAACCUCUGUCCCGUAGUCACAUCUUCGAACCGGAGCGUCAGUCGGCCUUCUUUGCACAUGUCCAAAUCACCGGAACCGAUUCUCUCAUCUUUCCUUCAAUUUCGGCUACUCCUACUUUACCUCGGAUAUCCUCAUUCUCAAUCUUAUCCUUUCUCGUGUGCCCACACAUCCCACGAAGCAUCCUCAUCUCUGCUACACCCAUUUUGUGUACGUGUUGAUGUUUCACCGCCCGACAUUCUGUGCCAUACAACAUCGCUGGCCUUAUUGCCGUCUUAUAAAAUUUUCCCUUGAGCUUCAGUGGCCUACGACGGUCACACAAACAUGCUGGAUGCACUCUUACACUUCAUCCAUCAAGCUCGUAUUCUAUGGUUGAGAUCUCCAUCUAAUUCUCCGUUCUCUUGUAAGAUAGAUCCUAGGUAGCGAAAACGGUCGCUUUUUUGUGAUCUUCGCUAAAUUGCUCCGGUCAUUAGUGUGGAUAAGUAUAUAAAUGGAUAGAGAUAGGAAAGCAAACACAAGAUGUACGUGGUUCACCCAGAUUGGCUACGUCCACGGAAUAGAAGAGUUCUCAUUAAUUGUGAAGGGUUUACACAAGUACAUAGGUUCAAGCUCUCCUUUAGUGAGUACAAGUGAAUGAUUUAGUACAAAUGACAUUAGAGUACAAAUGACAUUAGGAAAUAUUGUGGGAGAAUGAUCUCGUAAUCACGAAACUUCUAAGUAUCGGAGUGUGGUAUCGACUUGCCUUAUCUGUCUCAUAGGUAGAUGUGGCAGCUUCUCUGGAAGUACUCUUCCUCCAUCCAGGGGUGGUAUCUUUAACUGGUGGAGAUGCACAAGGUAAUGUAUCAAUUUCACUUGAAGCUUACUUGUAGUUUCAGGCUUGGUCAAGCGCGAUACAAACCAUGUAGUAGGAGUCCCCCAAGUCGCCGAGCUAGGGGAUUUUGCUGAAAGAGGUGACAGACAAGGUAAGCAAUCAGAGCUCCGGCUGAUUGUUCACCUUCUCCCCAUCUUGCAGCAGCAUGAAGGAUAAAGAGAAGAAAAAAUGAGAAGAGAUGAUAUGGGAUACUUUUGCUUUUGAAGAAGAAGUAACUUUCCACAGGCUUAUUCUUGAACUGAGCUGGAGGGUUUUCUGGUUUCCUCCAGAGUAUAAGGCCGACUGAAGAAUUUGAGGGUCAAAACAAGUCCAUCAAAUCUAGAGUACGUUCGACCCUGCUGAUAUGGGAUACUUUUGCUUUUGACAGAGUAAUGGAUGGAUCGGCACGUGUGCUGUUACGCUUGUCUCCACAUGCUUCCUUGUAUCCUUCGCACUUGCCCUAUCUGUUCCUCAAGCAGAUACGGUAUCUUCCCUGGCAACAUAAGAUGUUGAAGAUGAGUACUCGAGAGCAAUGCCAGGUAAGUAAUCAGGUAAGGGGUUCCAGGCUGUCAGUUCCUGGCUGGGAGCUUGAUUUCAAGUGCUGACUGAUUGCUCUCUUUCUCCUUGUCUUGCAGGUAAAAAACAAGGCCAAAGGAAAAGACAGGGAAAAAAGCAUGAUAUGGGAUACUCUUGCUUUUAACCCUGAUGAUAUGAGAUAUUCUUGCUCUAGUAUAGCUUGUUUGCAGAGGUAUUAUCGGGGGGAAAGAAAGCUGAAUAUUUUCGAAAGGCUUCGUUGGGAGUGCCCUCUCAGAUAUGAGGAAGGGUUGAGCAUUUUUGCAGGUCUGCCUGUCCGUUGGGGAUGGAGGUCGACAUAUAUAGGAGUCUCCCUAACAACAAGUAGUAAUGCUAUUCCUUUACCCUGCUUGGUCAUAGCACGGUAGUGGGAGCUGCCAGCUUCACAUGUUUUAACUCUGUCAGAGCACUUUGAAAAAGUGGUAUGUGGUAUCUGGCUCUCGAGAUUCGGAGAACGAUGCUUCUUCGAUUUUUGAGAAAGCAAUCAUGUGGGGGUCUGGCUCUCGAGAUUCGGGGAGCAGUGUCUCUUCGAUUUUUGAGAAAGUAAUCAUGUUGGGAGUCUGGCUCUCGAGAUUCGGAAGGCGGUGCCUCUUCGAUUUUGGAGUAAGCAAUCUUGUUGGGAGUGUGUUUUCUCGGAUGUGAGUAAAGGUUGGGCAUGUUUGCUAGUCUACCUUGCCACGAAGCACGGAGGUUGACACACAGGGACUUUCCAAUUAUCCAGCAGUGGUACUGUUCCUUUACCCUUGUGGGUAAUAAUAUGGUAGCUAGACCUUCAAAAUUUAUGUGUGUCUAAACUUUGUUAGUGCUGUUUCUUUGCUAUUCUUUUACCUUUCUUGGUCAGAGCGAUGUAGUGGGAGCUGCAAGCUUCACGUGCUCAACUUUGGCAGAGACUUUGACAAAGUUAUCUGUGGUACCCAUGAGCUAUUGUUGCGUGUGGGAAGUGGGUGAUUGAACAGUAAGAUUCAUGUGCUUUCUACUUCACCAGAAGUCUUCGACAGAAUGCCCAUAAUUUCCGCAAAGCUGAGUGUGCGUGUGACAGGUGCUGACAAGGCUAGAAAAGAAGGUGCCUCUUUGAUUUCUGAGAUCGGCCCUCGUGGUCUCUGAGCAGCCCAGCUUUUGAGAAAGCGAGCGCCUCUUCGAUUGAUUCGGAGAACGAUGCCUCUUCGAUUUUUGAGAAAGCAAUCAUGCUGGGGGUCUGGCUCUCGAGAUUCGGGGAGCAGUGUCUCUUCGAUUUUUGAAAAAGUAAUCAUGUUGGGAGUCUGGCUCUCGAGAUUCGGAGGGUGGUGCCUCUUCGAUUUUGGAGCAAGCAAUCUUGUUGGGAGUGUUUUCUCAAAUGUGAGUAAAGGUUGGGCAUGUUUGCUAGUCUACCUUGCCACGAAGCACAGAGGUUGACACACAAGGACUUUCCAAUUAUCCAGCAAUGGUACUGUUCCUUUACCCUCUCUUCGAUUUUUGAGAAAGUAGUCAUGUUGGGAGUCUGGCUCUCGAGAUUCGGAGGACGGUGCCUCUUCGAUUUUGGAGCAAGCAAUCUUAUUGGGAGUGUUUUCUCGAAUGUGAGUAAAGGUUGGGCAUGUUUGCUAGUCUACCUUGCCACGAGGCACAGAGGUUGACACACAGGGACUUUCCAAUUAUCCAACAGUGGUACUGUUCCUUUUACCCUUGUGGGUAAUAAUAUGGUAGCUAGACCUUCAAAAUUUUAUGGGUCUAAACUUUGUUAGUGCUGUUUCUUUGCUAUUCUUUUACCCUUCUUGGUCAGAGCGAUGUAGUGGGAGCUGCAAGCUUCACGUGCUCAACUUUGGCAGAGAACUUUGGCAAAGUUAUCUGUGGUACCCAUGAGCUAUUGCUGCGUGUGGGAAGUGGGUGAUUGGACAGUAAGAUUCAUGUGUUUUCUACUUCCCCAGAAGUCUUCGACAGAAUACCCAUAAUUUCCGCAAAGCUGAGUGUACGUGUGACAGGUGCUGACAAGGCUGGAAAAGUAGGUGCCUCUUCGAUUUCUGAGAUCGGCCCUCGUGGUCUCUGAGGAGCCCAGCUUUUUGAGGAAGCGAGCGCCUCUUCGAUUUCUGAGAUCGGCUUUCGUGGUCUUUGAGCAGCCCAACUUUUGAGAAAGCAAACACCUCUUCGAUUUAUGAGAUCAACCCUCGUGGUCUCUAAGCAGCCCAGCUUUUGAGAAAGCAAACGCCUCUUCGAUUUUCUGAGCAGGCGCCUCUUCGAUGUCUGAAGCUCCGUCGAGUGCAGCUUUUUAUAGGGGCUGGCAUUAAGUUCCAAAGCACACUUGAAUCUCCACCAGUAGAAGCUCCAUUCUUGCACUUCUAAGAUCUUGAUUUGUCCGACCUCUUCUCUCUUCAAUACCUUUGAAAAUGUCUGGCCCCUCCGACCGUCGUUUUGACUUGAACCUUGUUGAAGAGGCAGCCCCGCCUUCUCCAGACAACAUAUGGCGCCCAUCCUUCGUCUCCCCUACUGGUCCUCUUACCGUUGGGGAUUCCGUGAUGAAGAAUGAUAUGACCGCUGCGGUAGUGGCCAGGAACCUUCUCACUCCCAAAGAUAACAGACUACUUUCCAAACGGUCUGAUGAGUUGGCUGUUAAGGAUUCUCUGGCUCUCAGUGUUCAGUGUGCAGGUUCUGUGUCUAAUAUGGCCCAACGCCUAUUUGCUCGAACCCGCCAAGUUGAGUCAUUGGCGGCCGAAGUGAUGAGUCUCAAACAGGAGAUUAGAGGGCUCAAGCAUGAGAAUAAACAGUUGCACCGACUCGCACAUGACUAUGCUACAAACAUGAAGAGGAAGCUUGACCAGAUGAAGGAAACUGAUGGUCAGGUUUUACUUGAUCAUCAGAGAUUUGUGGGUUUGUUCCAAAGGCAUUUAUUGCCUUCGUCUUCUGGGGCUGUACCGCGUAAUGAAGCUCCAAAUGAUCAACCUCUGAUGCCUCCUCCUUCUAGGGUUCUGUCCAGUACUGAGGCUCCGAAUGAUCCCCUCCGAUGCCUUCUCUUUCUAGGGCUCUACCAACUGCUGAGACUUCUCCUAAGCAACCUUUGUGAAGGCUCCAUCUUGUUUUGUUUAUUUUGACUCAUGUAUAUGUACAUAUUUGUAGCUUAUCGGGGAUAUCAAUAAAUAAGUUUUCCUUCAUUUCAACGUAUUGUGUUAAAUACACCAAAGCCUUCUUCGCUAAGUUCUUUGAAUUUUCUUUUGUUGAAGCUUGUAUGUUGAAGCUUUCUGAGUGGAGCAUGUAGGUUGGGGUAGUGUUCCCUUAAAUUUUUCGAGUGAGGAAAACUUCUCGGUUGGAGACUUGGAAAAUCCAAGUCACUGAGUGGGAUCGGCUAUAUGAAUCUUAGAACGCCAUUGUGCUCGGUCCUGUGUCAUGUCCUUCGUUAGAUCCAAGUACUCUAAGUCUUUUCUUAGAGUCUCUUCCAAAGUUUUCCUAGGUCUUCCUCUACCCCUUCGGCCCUGAACCUCUGUCCCAUAGUCGCAUCUUCUAAUCGGAGCGUCAGUAGGCCUUCUUUGCACAUGUCCAAACCACCGUAACCGAUUUUCUCUCAUCUUUCCUUCAAUUUCGGCUACUCCUACUUUACCCCGGAUAUCCUCAUUCCUAAUCUUAUCCUUUCUCGUGUGCCCACACAUCCAACGAAGCAUCCUCAUCUCCGCUACACCCAUUUUGUGUACGUGUUGAUGCUUCACCGCCCAACAUUCUGUGCCAUACAGCAUCGCCGGCCUUAUUGCCGUCCUAUAGAAUUUUCCUUUGAGCUUCAGUGGCAUACGGCGGUCACACAACACGCCAGAUGCACUCUUCCACUUCAUCCAUCGAGCUUGUAUUCUAUGGUUGAGAUCUCCAUCUAAUUUCUCCGUUCUUUUGCAAGAUAGAUCCUAGGUAACGAAAACGGUCGCUCUUUGGUAUUUCUUGAUCUCCGAUCCUCACCCCUAACUCGUUUUGGCCUCCAUCUGCACUGAACUUGCACUCCAUAUAUUCUGUCUUUGAUCGGCUUAGGCGAAGACCUUUAGAUUCCAACACUUCUCUCCAAAGGUUAAGCUUUGCAUUUACCCCUUCCUGAGUUUCAUCUAUCAACACUAUAUCGUCUGCGAAAAGCAUACACCAAGGAAUAUCAUCUUGAAUAUGUCCUGUUAACUCAUCCAUUACCAACGCAAAAAGGUAAGGACUUAAGGAUGAGCCUUGAUGUAAUCCUACAGUUAUGGGAAAGCUUUCGGGUUUGUCCUUCAUGAGUUCUUACGGCAGUCUUUGCUCCUUCAUACAUAUCCUUUAUAGCUUGGAUAUAUGCUACUCGUACUCCUUUCUUCUCUAAAAUCCUCCAAAGAAUGUCUCUUGGGACCCUAUCAUACGCUUUUUCCAAAUCUAUAAAGACCAUGUGUAAAUCCUUUUUCCCAUCUCUAUAUCUUUCCAUCAAUCUUCGUAAGAGAUAGAUUGCCUCCAUGGUUGAGCGCCCUGGCAUGAACCCGAAUUGGUUGUCCGAAACCCGUGUCUCUUGCCUCAAUCUAUGCUCAAUGACUCUCUCUCCCAGAGCUUCAUUGUAUGACUCAUUAACUUAAUACCCCUAUAGUUCAUGCAAUUUUGUACGUCGCCCUUAUUCUUGUAGAUAGGCACCAAAGUGCUCGUUCGCCACUCAUUUGGCAUCUUCUUCGUUUUCAAAAUCCUAUUGAAAAGGUCAGUGAGCCAUGUUAUACCUGUCUCUCCCCAAAACUUUCCACACUUCGAUUGGUAUAUCGUCUGGGCCUAUUGCUUUUCUAUGCUUCAUCUUCUUCAAAGCUACAACCACUUCUUCCUUCCGGAUUCGACGAUAAAAAGAGUAGUUUCUACACUCUUCUGAGUUACUCAACUCCCCUAAAGAAGCACUCCUUUCAUGUCCUUCAUUGAAAAGAUUAUGAAAAUAACCUCUCCAUCUGUCUUUAACCGCGUUCUCUGUAGCAAGAACCUUUCCAUCCUCAUCCUUGAUGCACCUCACUUGGUUUAGGUCCCUUGUCUUCUUUUCCCUUACUCUAGCUAGUUUAUAGAUAUCCAACUCUCCUUCUUUGGUAUCUAGUCGUUUAUACAUAUCGUCGUAAGCCGCUAACUUAGCUUCUCUGACCGCUUUCUUCGCCUCUUGCUUCGCUUUUCUAUACCUUUCACCAUUUUCAUCGGUCCUCUCCUUGUAUAAGGCUUUACAACAUUCCUUCUUAGCCUUCACCUUUGUUUGUACCUCCUCAUUCCACCACCAAGAUUCCUUUUGGUGUGGGGCAAAGCCCUUGGACUCUCCUAAUACCUCUUUUGCUACUUUUCGGAUACAACUAGCCAUGGAAUCCCACAUUUGGCUAGCUUCCCCCUCUCUAUCCCACACACAUUGGGUGAUUACCUUCUCUUUGAAAAUGGCUUGUUUUUCUUCUUUUAGAUUCCACCAUCUAGUCCUUGGGCACUUCCAAGUCUUGUUCUUUUGUCUCCCUCUUUUGAUAUGUACAUCCAUCACCAACAAGCGAUGUUGAUUAGCCACGCUCUCUCCUGGUAUAACUUUUGCAAUCCUUACAAGUUAUACGAUCCCCUUUCCUCAUUAGAAGAAAAUCUAUUUGUGUUUUUUGACGACCCACUCUUGUAGGUGAUCACAUGUUCUUCUCUCUUCUUAAAGAAGGUGUUGGCUAAGAAGAGAUCAUAUGCCAUUGCAAAAUCCAAGAUAGCUUCCCCAUCCUCGUUUCUCUCCCCAAAACCAUGGCCACCAUGAAAACCUCCAUAGUUGCCUGUCUCCCUGCCCACGUGUCCAUUUAGAUCUCCUCCUAUAAAUAACUUCUCCGUCUGAGCAAUUCCUUGCACCAAGUCUCCAAGGUCUUCCCAAAAUUUCUCCUUCGAACUCGUAUCCAACCCUACUUGAGGUGCGUACGCACUAAUCACAUUGAUAAGUUCUUGUCCUAUUACAAUCUUGAUUGCCAUGAUUCUAUCUCCUACCCUCUUGACAUCUACAACAUCUUGUGUCAAGGUCUUGUCCACGAUGAUGCCAACACCGUUUCUCGUUCUAUUUGUGCCCGAAUACCAAAGUUUAAACCCUGAGUUUUCUAGAUCCUUUGCCUUACUACCAACCCACUUAGUUUCUUGUAGGCACAUAAUAUUUAUCCUUCUCCUCACCAUAACUUCCACUACUUUCCAUAGAUUUUCCCGUUAAGGUUCCUAUAUUCCACGUUCCUAAACGCAUUUUGCUCUCUUGAACUCUACCCUUCUGUCCUAGCUUCUUCACCCUCCCCCGUCUAAUAGGAUCAAAGUACUUCUUUUGUGUGUCCCGUGUAAAGUUGAUAGGAGCAUAUGCUCCCAAACAACUUUGAGUGGAGUCGUUCGAAAAGAAGUUUCUACGGCCCCCUUGCUCAUUUAACACUGCAUCCGGGUGCCGAUGGAGAUACAGCGACCCUUGCUCACUUAUCACUGUGCUCGGGCCACACAGCGCGCCACUUACGGGUGACGCCCUAGCUUUAGCGCGAUUUUGUUCUGGAUUCAUUUUCAUAAGGAUUCGACGUGAUCAUGGAGUGCCGGCUGUCGACUACCUGACGCCCUCCCCCUCCUCCUUUAUCCGGGCUUGGGACCGGCAAUGUAAAAUUACAUAGGCAGAGUUAGAAUGCAAAGCAAGAAAGGAUAAAAUGUAUUGCUAAUCGCCACAAGAACGCAAUCGUAGUUUAUCUAAUCCAAACAAGAUGAACCGCAGAAACAUCAUUAGCCACAAAUCUAAACAACAUUACUCUCAAAUGAAACGAAAAUGCGAACCGCAGAAACGUCAUUAGCCACAAAUCAAGACACAAGGUUUCCACUUAUGCAGACCAAACUAUUCAUGGGUACAAAUCGAAAACUCAAAAAAUUGAAAGCAAAGCGAAGCUGUACAACUUACUUGCCCUCAUAGACUUUGGCAUGAGCUCCCUCACCAAUUCUUGGCCCAACAAACAGAUGCUUGGGAUCAAUCAGCCAUUUGGCAUCCAAUCUGAACUCAUCAGCUGAGUAAAACCUACUCCCAGAUUCCAUCUUUCUACACAACCAAACAAUCCAGCAUCAAAACCCAAAAUCCAUAUAACAUAAUAUCAGAAACCCAAAAGCCAAAAAGCACUUGUUGAGAAGCUAACUCAUUCAUUGAUUCUCUGUGAGUGGAUAAGCUGACACAAAAGAGAUAAGCAGCAUCCCAAAGCUCAAAAAACUCACAGGAAGGAGGAGAUGGUACUUACAUGUCCUUGGAGAAGGCAAAAGCAUGGAACCCCACAUGUUCUAACAGAGAGCAGACUCUGACAGCAAAAGCCCCAAAACAAAAGCUCAAUGCCCAAAGUGCUUUUUUUUUUGCUUGGCAAGUUUUUAUGGGGAAAUGAGAAGAAAAAAUCCCUCAGAAAGGCAAGACCAUAAGGUCCAGAAGCAGAUUAGCAAAAGCACCUCCCCAAGUGAAAACUAGAGUACUGCAUACGUAUGCUAGUUUGAUUAAAACUCCAUAGUCCCCAUCAUUGAGGGUAAUUAAAUGGGGUGCGAUGAGAUUUGUGGGAUUAAUUAACCUCUGAUGGAAACAGUGGUUUCAGUCUUGAUCUGCAGCUGGAGUCAUGGGAAGGGAGAGAGCCUAAAGAUCAAGUUUUUAAGAAUUUGGUGUGUGUGUGUGUGUGUGUGUGUGAGGAGAGAGAUGAGAGAGAAGGGAGUGUUGAAUAUAUUGUAGUUAAGUGGGUGGGAGUCAUAAACUAAUCUAGAGCACAUGGAAACUGAUCUUGUCAACAUGGAGGGUAAACUGGUAAAGCUACUCAAACAACAUGAGUACUUUCUAGUUCCUUCCUAUCUUUUACUUGUACUUCACUUCAAUCAUAGCUAAUCAUUUAAUUUCUGGUUUUAACAGUCUCCACUUCAAACUGAACGACCGAAUAUUUUACGACUUUUACUUAAAAAAUAAGUGUUAUAUACGUACUUCUAGAUAAGUAAUAAAGAUCGAUUCGUUAUAUGUAAGGAGUCGAACAACAUUACUUGAAAGAAAAAGAUGUGGCAAGAAAUGCAAGGGUGUGGAGGCAGUUAAAAAGGCGAGAGGCAAACGGUGGGAAAGGAGAUGAGAUAUGUUGGUAAACGAGCAAUCCAUGCAGCAAAAAAUCUUAUCCUUUCCCUCCAAAUCACUUGCAACGUUCGAGUCGUGGACUAAAAAAAGGAUAUACAGGAUAAGUCGCUUCGACCGUCCAAUUUGCCGUGCAAAUUUGGCAACUCCAGUUACUCCACCUUUUUUCCAAAGGCACGAGACCGGACAAACGGGUUAUUUUUGUUGUUUAUAUGUCAUUCAUAUUAUCUUAACAAAUCUAUGUCCUGUUAAACUAGUUACUUAAACAGAUUUUUAAACUAAAUGACCCGUUAAUGAUCCAACUUGUGAAUAGGUUGUGCUAUUUCGUGUCAGAUUAAUAAGUCACGCAAAAGAAUUUUAUAAUUCACUAUCUAGACCUGCAAAUCGAUUGUGUUCGUGUUAUUUACGUAUCAUACUUGUUACCUUAACAAGUUCUUAACAAAUAGCUCAAUUAGAACCUAAUUCGUUAACGGAUGACCAACAACUACCCAACUCGUUAACAGACAGACUCGAAACUUGUUAUUUUCGUGUUAUUUCAUGCCAAAUUAACAAAUUACACAAAAAAAUUGCCGUACCUAUCUUACAUGCAACCAUAAUGCUAAAACACCUAUAUCUCAAGCGUAUCACACACCAGAGCAAUUAAUUAAGAUACUAUCAUCUUAACGUCCCAGUUGCAUAUAACAGAAGUAUAAAUAAAGUGGUGGGACAUUAAAUAACAUAGAAAUCAAUAAAGACUAAAUGGCCACAUGAAUACAUAACGUAGAAUAUAAUAUUAAAUCCAAAACUUAGAUAUCAGUACCAAUUUACUAAAACAUAAUUACAUACUAAGAAAAAGAUGCACAUGGACAUGGUCCCCAAAAGCAAGCAAAGCAUCAGAUUGCAUAUCGAAAAAUGCCAGUCCAUUAUUUCUGAGAUAAUAUAUAUAUAUAUAUAUAUAUAUAUAUAUAUAUACUAGGAAUAUAUAAUAACAUGAUUUAUUAGUAGUUGUCUUCCAUCUAAAGCUGCUCCCCGUUGAUCAGAUCCAUAACCACACGCUUGAUGCUUCCAUUGUUCUUCACCAGCAGCUUCUUGUUCAUUUCGGUAUCACAGAAACCCUGCACACAGCGAUCGUACUCAGGAUACACCGAAAAUUUGGAGAGGGAACUAUCCGUCAAGAUUUUGUUACAGUCGGGUUGUACAAACUUACCAUUUCCUGCAGCUCUUCAAGGAUGGGAUCCCAGUCAGAAACCUCGCAGAGAUCAUCGACAGACUGCUCCAUGUUGUAGUCAUUCAAACGCAGAAUCUCCUUGUUCAAAUUGACCUGCUUAAAUCCCAUCGCCUCGAGCUCCUUCAGCAUGGUGUCUUCCACGGCAUUGUUUGAACUGGUCCCUUCAGAUGAUGCUGGUGCAUUGACAACAAGUGAAAAUUUGGGGGAGGGCGGAGAUGGUUCAAAGAUAUCGACAGUGGGAUACAACACGGUUGAAGAACCCUGUGGCUUAACAGUGGGAUACAACACAGCUGAAGAACCUUGUGGCUCAACAGUGGGGUACAUCACAGUUGAAGAACCCUGUGGCUCAGUAGGGGCAGAAGCGCUGUGGCCAACCAGCAAGCUAUCAUUGAUGGGGAAGUGGAGCUCCUGGUCAUGUCCAGGCUGCUCAGUAGGCAUGGGCUUCACCGGUUCCUUAAGUGGGCUAGAACCAGAAGGCUGGAGAAAGUCACUGCCAGCAGCUGGUUGAAGGUUCACAUCUAUUUUUUCAGAUUCUUUUGGGGGCAGAUUCAAGUUCAGACCCUGAAAACUCUCAAAGAAUGAAUCCUUCAAGGAUGUAUCAACCUGCACAAGGGAAUAAAGGAUCAGAAGAGUUGUCUAGUUACGGGCAUUAGGUAUAAAGUUGUUCCGGAAACAUCCGCCUGUAUGCAUAAUAAAAGUAGAGGUCAUCAAAAGAACACAAUUAAUAAUAUGGAAGAUACCUGAAUCAGGACCCAAACACGUUGCCCAAACUUUUGGCCAGAUGAGGUUGCCAUCCGCCAGUAUGAGAUGUAGCGACCAGGUGACUCGGGUGCAGUAAAAUCAACGGCAAUGUCAAUUUCAUUUUCAGCCGGCACACCAUCCGCAGGAAUCUAUAACGAACCAUGAAAUUAAAAAAUGACAACAAAAAAUCUCUGAAAUAAAAGAACUAAAACAAAAAUGAAUAGAAGUGCCAACUAAAACCCAGGAAAUAUGGAAAGACAACAAAAAAGUAAAUAUUAAAUGCUACUUGAACAAUUCCAGAACAAUGUCAAAGUAUGCCACCUCUAUUUCAACUGAAUCUGAAUUGCUAAAUCUGUCGCCCCCAAUCCACACAAGUGUUGUUCCUUGAGGCCACACCAUACCACCGUUGUUGCGCAUCCGCCAUAUUUUGGUAAAUGGAGUAGAUGGGGCUAUAAAGGUACCAUCCAUUACAUUGACAUCCAAUACAAAGCGGCUAUCAAGCUUAGGGCGGCCUUGCUUCAUACUACCUCUCAAUAUUUUUGGCAUAACUGGGGGACCUACCCAUGGAGGCUGUCAUUAAGAAUGAAAAAGAAAGGUCAAAUUCGUAACAAAAAUAAAAUAUGGUAUCUAUGGGGAAGAAAAAGUAUUAGAGGGAUCUACACACUUGCUCAUACAACCCCUUGAAGGGCCGUGGAUGACGAUGAGAGAUAGGGUGGUCAAUCCUAAUGUAAUCAGUUGCACUACCCUUACUGGCAAAACAGAUCCGGCAGAGGUCAUAAUCCUCUUUCCUGCAGAAAAGAAACAGAAAGUAACGUCAAUAAUCUGAGUUCAACAACGUUUCACUACCAACUUAGCAUCACAUAUUUGAUAAGUUCCAUUCUUACACUAUUGACUUGAAUCGAGGUCCAACAAUUGGAUGACAACCACAGCCAUCACAGCGAACACCUGUAUGGAACAUACCACCCAUCGCUUCGGAGUGAUUUCUUUUGAAAGGAAUGCGCCGACAGGCAGCAGGAGUAGCUGAGUCAUUAGCAAUGGGAGUCCCUGUAAAUGGACAUUCGUUGAAACGAGUACUAAUCAUAUCAUGAAUAUUGCUUGCAGCACGAGCUGAACUUGCGGACGGACCACAACCAAAAGGCUUCUUGCUGUGAAGUUUCUUUUGAAUAUUGAGACGACCAUUGGGAAGCUGCUUAGACUCCUUCCUUGCAUCACUGGUAUGAAGACUUGAUCCAGCUGGUGAAUCAUUAAUGGGCAUGGGUCCUGAUAGAUUAGAAUCUGUAGGAAGGAAAUUGAGAUCAAGAGUUGCAUAAAGAGGUGGAGCAGACAUCCCCACAUCCUUGGUCACAUUCACAGAGUCUGUCGCCUGACCUUUUUUGGUGCUUGAUUCCUCAGCUGCAGAGAUGGGUUCUGACCUGCCAUCACCCUUCAGAUCAUUUGACUUAGAAGCAGCUGGGGGAUCCACGGGACUCUUAGAGGCGCCGUUUUGCUUGCCCGAAUCUCCAGCGGUCUGAACCUGGGCAUCUGGAAUCAAGUACGACAGGCCCAUCUUCGAAAAGCAGUCAACAAGCUCCGCAAACACUGGACUGGAUGAUGCAACUUUUGAAGCCAAAUCAAGAGGAAACUUUGAAGCGAAUUCCCGAAGUGGCUCUGGCAGGGACUUCAAAACUUCGGCAACAUCAGCAUUAAAAUCUGGUAUUGGAGUUUGACCUUGAGGGGACCUCAGAGGAGUAGAACUUCCACUUGACUUAGCAGAUUUGUCCUUGUUAAUCUGUACAUAUAUCUUCAAGAAUUUGAGCUUCUGCCUCAUCGUGUCAUGCAGAUCACCAUCAUCAACAAGAGUUACUACAUCACCAUCUUCAUCAACGUACGCCAAAGUGAUGUCAGCAUCAGAGUGGAGAUUGAAAAGACUCAAGAUCUUUUCUCGCAAUCCACUCAUGUCAAGAUCCAGUUGAUUGUUCUCAUUGACACUAGCAUUGAAACGCCUCAGUGUUUCCGCAUAUUGAACCUUUAGAACAACCAGUUACAUAUUAGUACAUACGAAAGUAACCAAAUAAACCUUUUCAAAAUCCAAGAAUUCAAUAAAAAUGUUAAACACUUGCAAAUGACAAAAUCAAAUUGGAGUCUGAAAACAGCACGCAAAAUUUGCCAAAAUUCAACCGACCCAUGAACAAACUAAUCAGGGUUACCUAGAUUAACCACGUUACUUCUCCGAUCAUCCAAAUAAAUCAACAAUCUUUCCGAGAAAAUAACAUUCAAUCAAAUAAACAUGCCAGGCAUCAAAACUCAAAAUUCAAAAAAUUAUCAUCACAUAAACCCUCUUCAAUUACAAAAAAAAAAAAAAAAAAACCGACAUAAAUUCAUCAAUCAAGAACCCCAUUUCAUCCCACAGCUCAGUUGCAUGUCAAAUUUCCAAACCUCUUUCCCUUAUCCCAAAUUUUUCCCGUCAACCAAACAGAGAAUAACCAAAAACCCAUAUCAAAUUCGGAAACGAAAGUUCGAAAAGAUCGCACCUUGAUAACCUUGGUCGACGCCAUAGCUGCAGAAACAACCAGUGUGCUCCAAAUCCGAGAACUAGAAGUAAAACCCUAACCCUAA